GGCUGGGUAGCUCAGCUGGUUAGAGCGCGGGAUUCAUAACCCCGAGGUCGGUGGUUCAAGCCCACCUCCAGCCACCA
rnacentral:tRNA from 1 species